UACGUAGGGUGCGAGCGUUGUCCGGAAUUAUUGGGCGUAAAGAGCUCGUAGGCGGUGUGUCACGUCGGCCGUGAAAACCUGCAGCUUAACUGUGGGCGUGCGGUCGAUACGGGCAUCACUGGAGUUCGGCAGGGGAGACUGGAAUUCCUGGUGUAGCGGUGAAAUGCGCAGAUAUCAGGAGGAACACCGGUGGCGAAGGCGGGUCUCUGGGCCGAUACUGACGCUGAGGCACGAAAGCGUGGGGAGCAAACAGG
rnacentral:rRNA from 1 species